rnacentral:rRNA from 1 species
AGUGAACGCUGGCGGUAGGCCUAACACAUGCAAGUCGAACGGCAGCACAGUAAGAGCUUGCCUUUACGGGUGGCGAGUGGCGGACGGGUGAGGAAUACAUCGGAUUCUACUUUUUCGGGGGGGAUAACGUAGGGAAACUUACGCUAAUACCUCAUACGUCCUACGGGUGAAUGCAGAGGAUCUUCGGACCUUGCGCGAUUGAAUGAGCCGAUGUCGGAUUAGCUAGUUGGCGGGGUAAAGGCCCACCAAGGCGACGAUCCGUAGCUGGGCUGAGCGGAUGAUCAGCCACACUGGAACUGAGACACGGUCCAGACUCCUACGGGAGGCAGCAGUGGGGAAUAUUGGACAAUGGGCGCAAGCCUGAUCCAGCCAUACCGCGUGGGUGAAGAAGGCCUUCGGGUUGUAAAGCCCUUUUGUUGGGAAAGAAAAGCAGCAGGUGAAUACCCCGCUGUUCUGACGGUACCCAAAGAAUAAGCACCGGCUAACUUCGUG